rnacentral:lncRNA from 1 species
GCGUGUUUGGACUCCGUGCCUUUCUUUCUCCCUUUUUUGCUGUUUUGCUUGUCGCCGCUCCUUCAAAAAGGGAUCCGCUGAAAGCCUCUGCGCAGCCGUGAAACGCUCCUCUCCGAACAGAUCGUUUUUCGGCCAAAGAUCUACACCACAACGGCAAUCUCACUCCGCCCUCACAGGCGAACGCUCUCUAGGAGAGACGAUCGCGCUUUCUGUGAGGAUCAAGAAUCUCUUUUCAGAACCCUUCAAGAAAGGGGAAGAAAGAACCUGAACCUGCGCUGUGUUGAAGACAGAAGAACUUCUUUUUCGCAGGGCGUCUGUGCAGGUGUAGGAUUGUGCCUUUGUACACUGUUAGCUUAUCCAGGUUCGUUGUUGAAAACGCGUAGUUAUAUACAGCGACGAAAUCAACACACUGUGCGUGGUGCGGCCUUGAAGAUUUCUACUUUCUUUGAAAGCGUUUUCUUCAGCAGCCUGCGCAGCUCCAGUCUUUGUCGGAGCUCGAGGCGACUCUAUAUUUCCCGGUCAAACGCUCAUAUUUUAGAUCUGACCUCUAACCCAAAUAGGCGAAUUGUGUAAACGAUCGGGGUCUUUCCCUUGUGCGUGCUGUUGGGACAACGCCUCCCCGAAAGCUUCUUCCUCCCGCCCCGAUUAUAAGGAGACCAAAGUGAGUAUCAUGAUAUUCGUACAGCUGGUACCUUGCCAUGUUACUACCGACCCCGUGGUAAAACCAUCUGCUGAGAAGAGGCAAAAACCCUCACGCUUCUGGAAAAAUUCCAGAUGUAUUAAAUGUAAAAACAAACCUUCGUUAGAUGCUUUACAAGGUUAAAAGGAAAAUGUAG